rnacentral:rRNA from 1 species
UACGUAGGGUGCGAGCGCUGUCCGGAAUUAUUGGGCGUAAAGAGCUCGUAGGCGGUCUGUCGCGUCGGUCGUGAAAACUUGGGGCUUAACCCUGAGCUUGCGGUCGAUACGGGCAUGACUGGAGUUCGGCAGGGGAGACUGGAAUUCCUGGUGUAGCGGUGAAAUGCGCAGAUAUCAGGAGGAACACCGGUGGCGAAGGCGGGUCUCUGGGCCGAUACUGACGCUGAGGAGCGAAAGCGUGGGGAGCGAACAGG